rnacentral:rRNA from 1 species
CCUACGGGUGGCAGCAGUGAGGAAUAUUGGUCAAUGGACGUAACCCUGAACCAGCCAAGUAGCGUGCGGGAUGACGGCCCUAUGGAUUGUAAACUUCUUUUAUGCGGGGAUAAACUGAGGGACGUGUCGCGUAUUGUAGGUACCGUAUGAAUAAGGAUCGGCUAAUUCCGUGCCAGCAGCCGCGGUAAUACGGAGGGUCCGAGCGUUAUCCGGAUUUAUUGGGUUUAAAGGGUGCGCAGGCGGCCUCUUAAGUCAGUGGUGAAAGGCCGCGGCUCAACCGUGGAACUGCCGUGGAAACUGGGGGGCUUGAGUACGCUGGAGGCAGGCGGAAUUCGUGGUGUAGCGGUGAAAUGCUUAGAUAUCACGAAGAACUCCGAUUGCGAAGGCAGCCUGCCGUGGCGUGACUGACGCUGAGGCACGAAGGCGCGGGGAUCAAACAGGAUUAGAUACCCUGGUAGUC